rnacentral:rRNA from 1 species
CCUACGGGAGGCAGCAGUGAGGAAUAUUGGUCAAUGGACGAGAGUCUGAACCAGCCAAGCAGCGUGCAGGAUGACGGCCCUAUGGGUUGUAAACUUCUUUUAUACAGGAAUAAAACGAGGCACGUGUGCCUUUUUGCAUGUAUCUUAUGAAUAAGGAUCGGCUAACUCCGUGCCAGCAGCCGCGGUAAUACGGAGGAUUCGAGCGUUAUCCGGAUUUAUUGGGUUUAAAGGGAGCGUAGAUGGGUUGUUAAGUUAGUUGUGAAAGUUCGAGGCUCAACCUGAGAAUUGCAUUUGAUACUGGCAGUCUAGAGAGUAGUUGCGGUAGGCGGAAUGUGUGGUGUAGCGGUGAAAUGCUUAGAGAUCACACAGAACACCGAUUGCGAAGGCAGCUUACUAAGCU